rnacentral:rRNA from 1 species
CGAGGAUGAUUUGAGGAGACAUAUGUUGAAUUGAAUCAUUCGAGCAGCGGACGGGUGAGUAAAGCACAAGGACUUGUCCGAAAGAGAGGGACACCUGCGGGAAACCGGAGCUAAUACCUCAUAAGCCGGAAGGUGAAAAGCAGAGAUGCGCUUUUGGAGAGACUUGUGUCCUAUCAGGCAGUUGGUGAGGUGAAAGCUCACCAAACCGAAGACGGGUAGCCGGACUGAGAGGUCGACCGGCCACAUUGGAACUGAGAGACGGUCCAGACUCCUACGGGAGGCAGCAGUGGGGAAUAUUGGGCAAUGGGCGGAAGCCUGACCCAGCGACGCCGCGUGAGGGAAGACAGCCUUCGGGUUGUAAACCUCUGUUGCAGGGGAAGAAGGAAGUGACGGUACCCUGCGAGGAAGCUCCGGCUAACUACGUGCCAGCAGCCGCGGUAAUACGUAGGGAGCGAGCGUUGUCCGGAAUUACUGGGCGUAAAGGGCGCGUAGGCGGCGCUUCAAGUCGUCUGUCAAAUGGAAGGGCUUAACCCUUUUUCGCAGACGAAACUGGAGAGCUUGAGAAGCAGAGAGGCAAACAGAAUUCCUGGUGUAGCGGUGAAAUGCGUAGAUAUCAGGAAGAAUACCAGUGGCGAAGGCGGUUUGCUGGCUGCAUACUGACGCUGAAGCGCGAAAGCCAGGGGAGCGAACGGGAUUAGAUACCCCGGUAGUCCUGGCAGUAAACGAUGUAUGCUGGGUG